UUUCCCUUAAGGAAAGAAUUAAUAAAAGAAGCAUACUUCUGUUUCCUGUCCACUGCUGGAAAGACAAUUAUCUCUACACUAGAGCAGUCAGAUCUAGCUUCUUUUCUAUGACCUACAUCACCUCUUUUAGCAGGGAAUUCACUCUUUAGAUAUGGCCAUGGAACUGUGUAAUGCCCAUCUCAAUGCUGAGUAGCAUUUCAUCUCCUCGUGGGUGCCGUGUACUGAUACAAUGCCCAGGGACAAGAUAUCGAGAAAAACAACAGUCUCCUGGACAACAUUUUUCAGAUCUGAAUGGCUAAAGAUGUGGCAGCCCAUGUCUUCAAAAGCUGUUAGGAUGACAGACUUGCUGCUAAUCCACUGUCCACAGACAUUUGAAGAGGCCUUUGAUUCUUGAGGGCAGUCUCUGAACAAGACCAAGAUUUUCCAAUGUAGCUCUUACAGUGCGCAUUGCAGCCUUGUUUUCACCAAAAUCUCAUGGUGGGGGACAGGGGAGGCAGAAAGGGAGUUUCUCAUUGCAAACAAGAAAAGCUAGAUGGUAUUUUACCUCAGACAUUUAAGAAAUAAAUAUGGAAACACUGUGCUUCCUGGACUUGAGGUUUGCAGAUAGAUUUCAUGGAGGCUUUAAAAGCUGUCUUUGGUAUAGAUGCACAGAUUCCUAUGCAAUGUAUCUACAGGAUUUAUAGAACACCAGUCAGCCCAGUGUGUUUGUGCCAGAAAUGACAUUGAAGAGUAGCAAGGGACAGUAAUUUGGAGGGAGAAAAAAAAAAAGGACCAUUGCAGAAACCCUGGUGAAAAAGAACACAACAGAUCUGGCUUACAUCCACACAGACAAGGCAAACUGUCCUUAACUCACCCCAUUAUGCAUACAAAUUGAAGCUGAGCCCAGUUUCUUUCUUCUCCUCAAAAAGGAUUAUAAAAUAAGUUGGCCAGAACCAAUGCAAAGGGGCUCCAAAACAUUCCCUUAUAUAGUAGGUGUUGUUUGGAUGCUCUAUUCUGCCACUCAUUUUGGCUGAGGAUAGGAAAAAAAUGAUCCCAAUUUUCACACUCUUCUAUUCCCUAACAGCAUGUUGUUUUUGGAAGAGGUAAAAUCUUCCCAACCCCAUCACACAGACCCCUGGAAGCUGGAAUCUUCCCCUCACUCACCCCUUUAUUACUUUAGUAAUGUUCUCAACAUGGCCAUUUUCAUUUUUUUUCCUCCAAGAGCCAUACGUAAUUCCCCAAAUCAUAGAAAGAUCCAAACUGUUAAGCACUAGAAUUAACCGAUAUUAAAAAUGCACUCAAAGGGAGCAAAAUGUAUGCAAAGACAGAUGGCACCUUCAGAGAAGGAGGAGGAAAUCUUAACUAACUUCUGAUCUCGUUAGUGCUGAAUCAUCACAGUCUGACCGAUCUCUCUAAAGAUGUCCAGAACUCCCAAAAUGUCCCUAAUAUGAUGCCUCCAUGUGCAUGUGGCAUUCCAUUAACAUCCUGUAUAAAACGGAUAUUAAAGUCUAUGUGCACUGACCCCUAAAAAAUAGCUGGUAAUUUCUUUAACUGUUUAGAUGACUUUUAGGAUAUGGAGGAAAGUAGUGGACAUUGGACAAGUUUUCUAGAUGCUGGGAGCCAUGUCUGCUCAAGUUAAGGCUCUAGGAGGUGACAGAGAAUUCCUGUUUGCCCCACUUCUGUUUUCCCUAUGGCCCAUCUACAUUUCAAACAUGUCUAAUGUUCCUGCUGCUAGUACAGAACUCAACAUACAAACAUCACGAGUUUUGUCCAGUAUUCAGGAAAGGAACUGGCCAGCAAGGCACUGAGGGACAUCAACUGGUGGAGACGUUACAUUCCAGCAAGGCACCAGGGCAGGUUGGGAAGCACAGGAAUGAAAGGUGUUUUGUCUGAGCAAACAAGACUCCUACUGAUGGGAAGAGCUGACAGACAGAAACAAUUGCAUUGCUCACUGUCCUGAGGGCUAGCAUUCAAUUAUAAUUAAACCAAGCAAAAAUGGUAAUAAAACAUAU